GAUAUCAAAGAGAGAGAGAUCUGGGAACAGUUCUUGCUUUUGCUGUUCCUUCACCAAGACUCUCUCCCUCUCUCUAAAAAAGUGAAGAGAGGA